rnacentral:misc_RNA from 1 species
CUUGGCUGCGUAAGGACGCCUUUCGUCAUUAAAGACAUCAUUGACCAGUAUCAGAAAAGAUAUACGCAUAUGUACAUAUAUAAAUGUACGUACGUAUGUCGAUCGGUCGCGUACGCGUGUGAGGACUAGCCGAAUAGUGUGGCUGUGUGUGUGCGUGUGUGUGUAUGUGUGAGUGGGUGGAUUUGUUCUUUUAUUUUCAUUUCAUUUUUUAUUCGUUUUAAAAUUCUACAUUGUUGUUACGGGGAGAGGUUAAAUCCGCGUCAAGAGUUGUGUGUCGAUAACAAGGAUACCGGAGAUAAAUCACGCAAAACCGUCUCUCCCUUUCUCUCUCUCUCUCUCUCUGAACCUAUCGCUCUCUAUCUUCCCCGCCCUCAGGGGAAAAUAAAUAAAUUAAAAAAACAAAAAAAAAUCGCCAGCCCCCGAGCAUCGGGUUUCGUUAAUUUCUGGUUCGUUGUUUCGUUCCCCCUUCGCCCUCCCGCCGUCAUCAUCCUCCUCCCCCUCCUCCUCCUCCCAGCGACCAAAGAGUCACUGCCAGCAGCUGAGCGAGUGCACGUCGCGUUUCUGUAUGCCGCGCCGAGUGUCGUGUCGUCUCUGUGUGUCGUCGUUGUGCGAUCGCGCGUGCGACGAGGAGAAAUAUAACCUGAUGUGAGUGAAACGUUGGAUUUAAAAACCGCCUUUCAGUUUUUCCGGAAUACCCCAACCUGUUAGUUAUAAGCGGCCACCGGUCGUUUUGUCCUUCGCCCGAUCGGAGCCGGAAAAAUCGUGAGAAUAGCGGAAGGUCGAUUCGUCGCUUUCUUUUCUUUUCAUUUCAUUUGUUUUCUAUCGGGUUCGAACCGAGGGUAUUAUUUAUCGUACGUAAAGGCGAAACGGAAAUAGUUGCACGCUGCUUCGGGUUUGCGUGCGGAAAACUGAGGUGAAAAAGAAGAGUAAUAAGCGAGACAAGGGUAAACAAAGGAAUAGGAGGGUCACCGUUGUUCGCAAGAGCUGAUUGUAAUAACCGUGACACAUUGUGACGUGUGACGAGUGGAGAAGGUGAAGCAAAAGUUCGGGAUAAAAAAAAAAUUCAAACAAGUUUCGUUUUUAUUCCACGUGUAACGGUGCCGCCGAAAAAAGAAGAAUAAGAAAAAAGAAACAAACGAAACGAUACCUCGUCGAUGUCGAACAGGAAAAUCAGCGGUGGUUAAAAGUUUGUGAUCUUUCGCUCUUCGUUUUUUUUUUCCAACGUCAAAGCGACCGUCCCGCGUACAACAGUGCAAUAACACAGCCGACAGGGAGAUAAAAAAAAAAAAAAAAAAAAAUAGGCGGCAAUUGGUGAUAUGAAAAGAGGAUUAUUUUUCGGUGUGUAAGAAGUGUGGGUUUUAAAAAAAGUGACAGAAGAAACAACGAAAGGAUCCGAGAACUAAUAAUCAGCGUCAUAUGACAGCGGUGAGAGGAGUUGGGAAAAAAUUUUGUUUUAACGUCGAUUUUUGAUCCGAGAUAUUUGACGAAACCCGUGCUUGAAAAAAAAAAAAAAGCGUUGCACCAAGGGCUGAUUAAGUUGUGUACAAUCGAACAUUCAAAGAAUGCGAAGAAACGACGCGCCAUAGAGGGUAAAACGUAUAAAUAGUGAGGUGGGCGAAUAACGAAGCCGAAAGCCGUAGGGACCAGUUCGAAAACAAAACAAAAGAGCGUCGUCGUGCAUCUUCUCGGUGCGUUUGGAACAGCACAGCAGCGACGGAAGAGGGUGAAAGUGAAAAUCGUCGGUGAUACGGGACCGCCGCUUGCCGACGGAGAGACAGACAGACGGGCGGAAACCCAGUAACAGAAGUAGCAAAAGUAUACGAACAGGGGAAAAAAAAAAUCUGCGACCAAUCACCUCGAAGUCAGUCGGCUCUUCGCCUAGGGGGGCCUUAGGUGAAUUUUUGAUGGCAGUGGUGGGGCCGAGCCGGCACUCGCGGGUGUCCAUGAGCGUGUCGAUGUCGCUUAUGCAGGGGGGUGGGGCCGGGGCUACCGGCGGCGGCGGCGGAGGCGGCGGGACGACCGGGACUCAUCCGGGACAGGCGGUCCUAGCAGCGGCGGCGGCCGCCGCCGCCGUCGCCCAGGCCCCCCCGACUUAUUACCACCCCGCCGCCCCCGCACCGCCACCACCACCCCCUACCCAGGACCCAGUACAGCCGGACAGACCCAUUGGAUACGGGGCCUUUGGAGUCGUCUGGGCUGUCACAGAUCCCAGGGACGGUCGUCGAGUGGCGCUUAAAAAACUGCCGAACGUCUUUCAGAGCCUCGUCAGCAGUAAACGAGUGUUUCGAGAGUUGAAGAUGUUGUGCUUCUUCAAACACGAAAAUGUACUAUCUGCACUGGACAUACUUCAGCCACCGCAUCUAGACUUCUUCCAGGAAAUUUACGUGAUAACCGAGCUUCUCCAAAGUGACCUGCACAAGAUCAUCGUCAGCCCGCAGCAUCUCAGCGCAGAUCACAUAAAGGUCUUCCUGUAUCAAAUACUGAGAGGAUUAAAGUAUCUGCACUCGUCGAGAAUUCUGCAUCGUGAUAUUAAGCCGGGAAAUCUGCUGGUAAACAGCAAUUGCGUUUUGAAGAUCUGCGAUUUCGGCUUAGCCAGAGUCGAGGAACCUGACCAGAACAAACACAUGACUCAGGAGGUGGUCACGCAGUACUACAGAGCACCAGAAAUCCUUAUGGGUGCACGGCACUAUUCAGCAGCAGUUGACGUGUGGAGCGUUGGUUGUAUCUUCGGUGAGCUUCUCGGUAGGCGAAUUCUAUUCCAGGCGCAAAGUCCGGUACAACAGCUUGAACUAAUCACGGAACUGCUCGGCACUCCUUCGAUGGAAGACAUGAAGUACGCCUGCGAAGGAGCCAGAUCUCACAUGUUGAGACGAGCGCCGAAACCACCUUCUCUAACAGCUCUCUACACUCUCAGCAGUCAGGCUACGCACGAAGCUGUGCAUCUCUUGUGUCAGAUGUUGGUGUUUGAUCCGGACAAAAGGAUCACCGUCGUCGACGCUCUAGCUCAUCCUUAUCUCGACGAAGGACGACUGCGUUAUCAUUCCUGUAUGUGCACUUGCUGUUAUACCGCAAGUGCUGGAAUGCGACAGUAUACCGGCGAUUUUGAACCUGCCACUUCACACACCUUUGACGAUUUGUGGGAAAGAAAGUUGACCAGUGUGCAGCAGGUGAAAGAGGAAAUGCACAAAUUUAUCGCGGAACAGCUGAACACAACGCGCGUACCACUGUGUAUAAACCCACAGUCAGCGGCGUUCAAGAGUUUCGCAAGAAAAAGAAAGAAACACCAACACCUCGUCACGUAUUAUCCUGAGAAUCAAAAAUGAUCGAAGAUGAACGAAAUCCUGAAUAAUAAAAAUAUUCCAACCGUACUGAACCAAACUUUCCUUAAAAUAUCCAUACAAUGAUCAUUGUGAUUCGUCUGAUACUGAUCUUGAUCGUCUUGCUUACUGCCGUCAAGUUAGAGCAAGCCAUCUGCCAACCCAGCACCGUGCGCCGCGUAUACGUACACAUUACCACUACCGAAUCAACUAUCUACCACUGUCAGCUACCACUAUCGACUACUACUACUAUCAGCUACUACCAAUCGUUACGUCUUCUCCUGAACGAAAGAAAGAAUGACCGAGAAUCAUCUAUAAGUCGGCCCGACCUCGCUCGCAGAGCUCAACGGUGGCCCAUCCUUCGGAACUGCCACCCUCUCCACAUCAAUGGGAAUAAUGUUUUCCCUGGGUCCAAACACAUCCGGUUUUCUACAAAGGGCAUGACGACGAAUGGUCAAGAGAAUUGCAUUUGUCGCAUCCGGUGAAAGGAAAGAAGAGAUGAGAGAGGAAAUUGUGCAGAAGAAAACUAACCGAAUCCAGCCCGAGAAGAACGGAGACUAUCGAAGCAGUUGGGCCCUCAGAGCACUAAGAGAGACAAUAGACUGCUGAGCAAGUAGCCUCAAAUUCAAGUCUAGUUAAUAGACGAACGUAGCUAAAUAAUAGACAAAUAGUAAGAAUACAAAAUAGCAAAUAUUAGCAACAGAAAGAAUGGAACACUGAAAUAGGCCAGUUUUUAGCUUGAUUCGUACAAAGACAGCUGGUAUUUAACUGAUCGCAGUUAUGAACACUACAGCGUUAAUUCCGUAUGAUAAUAAUAAUAAUAACACUAAUAAUAACAAUAAUAGAAAUAAAAAUGACAGUUACAAUGACAACGUGUACCAUAAUAGGUAUAUACGCUGAACACGAAAACUUUGUGAAGAUGAGUGCGUAUGUAGUAAAUUUAGUAGAAAACAGUUUUUUGGACGAGCAUGUAAAGAGCGUAAUAAGAGCAUAAUAUAGUUUCAAAGGUAUGAUCUUAUAUUAUUUCGUUUGCAUUAAAAUGACGCAAUUUAGUUUCAUUACUUUAAUCUUAAUAUAUAUAUAUAUAUUAUAUAUUACAUAUAUAUCAUAU